GUGGGGAAUAUUGGACAAUGGGCGAAAGCCUGAUCCAGCCAUGCCGCGUGUGUGAAGAAGGUCUUCGGAUUGUAAAGCACUUUAAGUUGGGAGGAAGGGCAGUAAGUUAAUACCUUGCUGUUUUGACGUUACCGACAGAAUAAGCACCGGCUAACUUCGUGCCAGCAGCCGCGGUAAUACGAAGGGUGCAAGCGUUAAUCGGAAUUACUGGGCGUCAAGCGCGCGUAGGUGGUUUUGUACGUUGGAGGUGAAAUCCCCGGGCUCAACCUGGGAACUGCCUCCAAAACUGCAUGACUAGAGUACGGUAGAGGGUAGUGGAAUUUCCUGUGUAGCGGUGAAAUGCGUAGAUAUAGGAAGGAACACCAGUGGCGAAGGCGACUACCUGGACUGAUACUGACACUGAGGUGCGAAAGCGUGGGGAGCAAACAGGAUUAGAUACCCGAGUAGUCC
rnacentral:rRNA from 1 species